AUGGCGAUUUGUCGUUGGGCUGGCUAUCCUGAUCUCUUCAUUACUUUUACAUGCAAUCCAAAAUGGCUGGAAAUACAAGAUAUGUUAGAUCUGAUUCCAGGCCAGAAACCUGAAGAUCGUCCAGAUAUUGUUCCCAGAGUAUUCCUGUUAAACCUGAAGGAACUUAUGAAUGACAUAAAGAACGGAAAGUGUUUUGGACAAACAAUUGCAAGUAAGUUUACCUAA
rnacentral:rRNA from 1 species